CACUGAGAAAAGAACCUUUGCAUCCUGAAGAACUUUGCCAAAUGAAUAAGCAUUUCUAAGUAACUUUUUAAUUCAUUUUUUGUAUGUAUACAUAUGUAUAUAACAUAUACAAAGCCAGAUGUAAAGAAGUUCCUUGCUUGUCUUGCUGACAUCAGCUUUCUUGUUCAGCUAUGAUGAAGAAGCAGUCCCAUGGUGGAGUGCACACAGCUCAUUCCAGCAAGACUUUGCACUGUUCACAGCUCCUCUGAACCCUAAGAUCCAAGCAGAAAAUAAUGAGCAAAAUACUAGCAAAAUCCAUGAGUCUAAACACAUCCUAAUUACCAGUUUAGACUUCAUUCUGACUGAAGAGAUGAAGUGAACAUUGGCUUUAAGUUUUCAAGUACAACCAGCUAAGCUCACCUUCCAAACAUCAUGCAUAAGGCAGGGGGUAUCCUGUUCAGUGUCAGAAGAGAUGGCAGAAAGCUUGGAGGAAUUACUGCUUGGCAGGCAAGACAAAAGAACGAGAGCCCAAAUGCAGCUGGCCAGCUGGGAGCACACUGCUGCUCCUGCAAAGUUCUUCAAGGAGAAAUGCUGACACAGCCAUUUUCAGCACUAUUUGCUGCUGCAAGGAAUAUUUAAGCAAAGAGCAAGAAGGAAGAUGAAAUAUUAAGGAUUAAGAUGGCAGCAAGAGCUUCUCAGUAGGAAUGCAAUGGACACGUUAGUUUUGCUUCCCACACAGGUGAGAUCCAAGGUAAACACGAAGUGAUUGUGUGUGCAGAUUUCCUGGAGUCUUUGAAACGAGUGCAUUUCAGAGCAGGCUUUCCAGAUGCUGCAAUUAAAUCUUGAAAGGUUCUCUAAAGCAUUGAUGAAUCUUUACAAGGGAAUGCAAAUCAGCACAACUAAGUGGGAAAGUGGAACUUUUUUUAUGCUCUCAGCACUUUGCUGUGCUUUUUUCUAAUACAUAAGAGCAAUGUUCAUGUUGAUCAUGUGCUAUUAUUUCAUUGCCACUUCUUAAUACAUGAUUCAGCUGAAUAUUUGUCUGUUCCUGACCACACAAACUCAUGUUGCAGUGGAGGGAGUUAUUAAAAUGAAGCCCUCACUGUGUUUCAUAGGACACUUUAACCAUUGCUUCUACAAAUUUGUCAGAAGGACACCUCUUUUGCAGUAAGCUUGAAAGUACUCUCAAGUAUUGAAGGCAAAGGAGGCAGUGCUGUGUGCAGCAGGCACCUUUCUGGUUCUAUAUUGGAUUUAUUUGCAGACUUUAUGGAAUGAAUUAUGCCCAUCUUUCAUCAUGGAUGAAGAGUUACUGGUGCAUCCCCGUGUUCUUCACUGUGUGUCAUUCCAUUGCUGUCAUCACAUGAGAUCAGGACAAGAAAUGGGAGCAGAGGCACAGGACUGCUGAUGUGGCAUCAUUAACUUCCUAGAGCUGCUGUAGCUUGCAGAGCUUGGCUCCUGCUCCCUGGUCGCUUUAGCAGAGCCCUUCCCUGUUGUUUUUUUUUGUUGUUUUUUUGUUUCCAAAACCU
rnacentral:lncRNA from 1 species